AGUGAACGCUGGCGGUAGGCCUAACACAUGCAAGUCGAACGGCAGCACAGUAAGAGCUUGCUCUUACGGGUGGCGAGUGGCGGACGGGUGAGGAAUACAUCGGAAUCUACUUUUUCGUGGGGGAUAACGUAGGGAAACUUACGCUAAUACCGCAUACGACCUACGGGUGAAAGCAGGGGAUCUUCUGACCUUGCGCGAUUGAAUGAGCCGAUGUCGGAUUAGCUAGUUGGCGGGGUAAAGGCCCACCAAGGCGACGAUCCGUAGCUGGUCUGAGAGGAUGAUCAGCCACACUGGAACUGAGACACGGUCCCGAACCCUACGGGAGGCAGCAGUGGGGAAUCUUGGACAAUGGGCGCAAGCCUGAUCCAGCCAUACCGCGUGGGUGAAGAAGGCCUUCGGGUUGUAAAGCCCUUUUGUUGGGAAAGAAAAGCAGCAGGUUAAUACCCCGCUGUUCUGACGGUACCCAAAGAAUAAGCACCGGCUAACUUCGU
rnacentral:rRNA from 1 species